UACGAAGGGGGCUAGCGUUGCUCGGAAUUACUGGGUGUAAAGCGCACGUAGGCGGCUUUCUAAGUCGGGGGUGAAAUCCUGGAGCUCAACUCCAGAACUGCCUUCGAUACUGGAAAGCUCGAGUCCGGGAGAGGUGAGUGGAACUGCGAGUGUAGAGGUGAAAUUCGUAGAUAUUCGCAAGAACACCAGUGGCGAAGGCGGCUCACUGGCCCGGUACUGACGCUGAGGUGCGAAAGCGUGGGGAGCAAACAGG
rnacentral:rRNA from 1 species